rnacentral:piRNA from 1 species
UGCAUUGGCCGCAGCAAAGCCCUGUC